UGCAGCUGAUAAACAGC
rnacentral:misc_RNA from 1 species